rnacentral:rRNA from 1 species
UGGGGAAUAUUGCACAAUGGGCGCAAGCCUGAUGCAGCCAUGCCGCGUGUGUGAAGAAGGCCUUCGGGUUGUAAAGCACUUUCAGCGAGGAGGAAGGGUAGUGUGUUAAUAGCACAUUGCAUUGACGUUACUCGCAGAAGAAGCACCGGCUAACUCCGUGCCAGCAGCCGCGGUAAUACGGAGGGUGCAAGCGUUAAUCGGAAUUACUGGGCGUAAAGCGCACGCAGGCGGUUUGUUAAGUCAGAUGUGAAAUCCCCGCGCUUAACGUGGGAACUGCAUUUGAAACUGGCAAGCUAGAGUCUUGUAGAGGGGGGUAGAAUUCCAGGUGUAGCGGUGAAAUGCGUAGAGAUCUGGAGGAAUACCGGUGGCGAAGGCGGCCCCCCUGGACAAAGACUGACGCUCAGGUGCGAAAGCGUGGGGAGCAAAACAGGAUUAGAUACCCUGGUAGUCCACGCUGUAAACGAUGUCGACUUGGAGGUUGUGCCCUUGAGGCGUGGCUUCCGGAGCUAACGCGUUAAGUCGNCCGCCUGGGGGAGUACGGCCGCAAGGUUAAAAC